rnacentral:rRNA from 1 species
GACGAACGCUGGCGGCGUGCCUAAUACAUGCAAGUAGAACGCACAGGAUGCACCGUAGUUUACUACACCGUAUUCUGUGAGUUGCGAACGGGUGAGUAACGCGUAGGUAACCUGCCUGGUAGCGGGGGAUAACUAUUGGAAACGAUAGCUAAUACCGCAUAAGAACAUUUACUGCAUGGUAGAUGUUUAAAAGGUGCAAAUGCAUCAUUACCAGAUGGACCUGCGUUGUAUUAGCUAGUAGGUGAGGUAACGGCUCACCUAGGCGACGAUACAUAGCCGACCUGAGAGGGUGAUCGGCCACACUGGGACUGAGACACGGCCCAGACUCCUACGGGAGGCAGCAGUAGGGAAUCUUCGGCAAUGGGGGGAACCCUGACCGAGCAACGCCGCGUGAGUGAAGAAGGUUUUCGGAUCGUAAAGCUCUGUUGUUAAGGAAGAACGAGUGUGAGAAUGGAAAGUU